UACGUAGGGGGCCAGCGUUGUUCGGAAUUACUGGGUGUAAAGGGUUCGUAGGCGGUGCGGCAAGUUGGGAGUGAAAUCUCUGGGCUCAACCCAGAGACGGCUUCCAAAACUGCUGUGCUUGAGUGUGAGAGAGGCUCGUGGAAUUGCAGGUGUAGCGGUGAAAUGCGCAGAUAUCGGGAGGAACACCAAUUGCGAAGGCAGCUCGCUGGGACGUCACUGACGCUGAGACGCGAAAGCGUGGGGAGCAAACAGG
rnacentral:rRNA from 1 species